rnacentral:rRNA from 1 species
AUGAACAUCGCCCUCCUGACCCGGUGGCUAUGGCGUAUUGCUAAUGGUGACGGAGGGCUUUGGCUCACCAUCAUCCGAAACAAGUACCUCCGUGGACAUCCUCUGGCUUUCUGUCAGCAUUCGGGCGGAUCCCAGUUUUGGCAGGCCGUCAUUCAGCUGCUCCCUGUCCUUCGCAUUGGCACGUCCAUCUCGGUUGGGUCUGGGUCCGCAACCCUGUUCUGGUUUGAUCGGUGGAUCGGCGACACCCCUCUGGCCGCCCGCUUUUCCCGAGCUCUUCGUCAUUUCUGUUGA